rnacentral:rRNA from 1 species
CCUACGGGGGGCAGCAGUCGAGAAUCAUUCACAAUGGGGGAAACCCUGAUGGUGUGACGCCGCGUGGGGGAAUGAAGGUCUUCGGAUUGUAAACCCCUGUCAUGUGGGAGCAAAUUAAAAAGAUAGUACCACAAGAGGAAGAGACGGCUAACUCUGUCCCAGCAGCCGCGGUAAUACAGAGGUCUCAAGCGUUGUUCGGAAUCACUGGGCGUAAAGGGUGCGUAGGCUGUUUCGUAAGUCGUGUGUGAAAGGCGCGGGCUCAACCCGCGGACGGCACAUGAUACUGCGAGACUAGAGUAAUGGAGGGGGAACCGGAAUGCUCGGUGUAGCAGUGAAAUGCGUAGAUAUCGAGAGGAACACUCGUGGCGAAGGCGGGUUCCUGGACAUUAACUGACGCUGAGGCACGAAGGCCAGGGGAGCGAAAGGGAUUAGAUACCCUGGUAGUC